AUUGAACGCUGGCGGCAUGCCUUACACAUGCAAGCCGAACGGCAGCACGGGAGCAAUCCUGGUGGCGAGUGGCGAACGGGUGAGUAAUGUAUCGGAACGUACCAUUGAGUGGGGGAUAACGUAGCGAAAGUUACGCUAAUACCGCAUAUACCCUGAGGGGGAAAGCAGGGGAUCGCAAGACCCUGUGCUCUUUGAGCGGCCGAUAUCAGAUUAGCUAGUUGGUGAGGUAAAGGCUCACCAAGGCGACGAUCUGUAGCGGGUCUGAGAGGAUGAUCCGCCACACUGGAACUGAGACACGGUCCAGACUCCUACGGGAGGCAGCAGUGGGGAAUUUUGGACAAUGGGGGCAACCCUGGUCCAGCCAUGCCGCGUGAGUGAAGAAGGCCUUCGGGUUGUAAAGCUCUUUCGGCCGGGAGGAAAUCGCAUCAGCUAAUACCUGGUGUGGAUGACAGUACCGGAAUAAGAAGCACCGGCUAACUACGUGCCAGCCGCCGCGGUAACAC
rnacentral:rRNA from 1 species